AACGAACGCUGGCGGCAUGCCUAACACAUGCAAGUCGAACGAGACCUUCGGGUCUAGUGGCGCACGGGUGCGUAACGCGUGGGAACCUGCCCUUAGGUUCGGAAUAACUCCCCGAAAGGGGUGCUAAUACCGGAUAAUGUCUUCGGACCAAAGAUUUAUCGCCUUUGGAUGGGCCCGCGUUGGAUUAGCUAGUUGGUAGGGUAAAAGCCUACCAAGGCGACGAUCCAUAGCUGGUCUGAGAGGAUGAUCAGCCACACUGGGACUGAGACACGGCCCAGACUCCUACGGGAGGCAGCAGUGGGGAAUAUUGGACAAUGGGCGAAAGCCUGAUCCAGCAAUGCCGCGUGAGCGAUGAAGGCCUUAGGGUUGUAAAGCUCUUUUACCCGGGAUGAUAAUGACAGUACCGGGAGAAUAAACUCCGGCUAACUCCGU
rnacentral:rRNA from 1 species